GGUAGUAUCCCAUAAACCAACACACUCUGGCGGUCUUCAUUUAUUAGAGAAACUCGCUUCAUAAUCGAAAAUACUCGUUAAAUUUCACUAAAUUACAAAGCCUAUAUACCGCCGCUUAUCGGAGCACUAUACUCAACCCCCUCCUUCUUUACAAUAAUAAUACCCCAGGUCAAGGUGUAGCCAACAAUUCAGAAGAAGUAAGUUACAUUAAAACUAAUUUAAGAACAUAACAAAAUUUGAAUAGAAAAAGAAUUUAUAUGUACAUCAAAAUUAAAAAUUCCAAUAGAAAUAUAUCACGAAGACGC
rnacentral:rRNA from 1 species